rnacentral:rRNA from 1 species
CCUACGGGUGGCAGCAGUGAGGAAUAUUGGUCAAUGGCCGGAAGGCUGAACCAGCCAAGCCGCGUGAAGGACGAAGGUGCCAAGCAUUGUAAACUUCUUUUGUCAAGGGACAAAAUCAGGCGCGAGAGCCUGACCGAGGGUACUUGAAGAAAAAGCAUCGGCUAACUCCGUGCCAGCAGCCGCGGUAAUACGGAGGAUGCGAGCGUUAUCCGGAUUUCUUGGGGUUAAGGGGUGCGUAGGCGGACUGUUAAGGCAGCGGUCCAAGCCCGGGGCUCAACCCCGGCGAGCCGUUGAAACUGGCUGUCUUGAGCUUUCGAGAGGUAUGCGGAAUGCGCAGUGUAGCGGU